rnacentral:rRNA from 1 species
UACGAAGGGUGCAAGCGUUAAUCGGAAUUACUGGGCGUAAAGCGCGCGUAGGUGGUUCAGCAAGUUGGAUGUGAAAUCCCCGGGCUCAACCUGGGAACUGCAUCCAAAACUACUGAGCUAGAGUACGGUAGAGGGUGGUGGAAUUUCCUGUGUAGCGGUGAAAUGCGUAGAUAUAGGAAGGGACACCAGUGGCGAAUGCUACCACCUGGACUGAUACUGACACUGAGGUGCGAAAGCGUGGUGAGCAAACAGG